rnacentral:rRNA from 1 species
AUACAACUUCAGCAACGGAUCUCUUGGCUCUCGCAUCGAUGAAGAACGCAGCCGAAAUGCGAUAAGUAAUGUGAAUUGCAGAAUUCAGUGAAUCAUCGAAUCCUUUGAACGCACCUUGCGCUCCUUGGUAUUCCGAGGAGCAUGCCUGUUUGAGUCGUCAUG